AAGCAAUAGCCCUCAUUUCACCGUCUAGGUUAAAUAUAGACCCGAUAUAGUCCGGCUAUGUGUAACCCACUUCUAGCCAAAAUAACAUUGAAUCAUGGCUAAAUGUAAUUUUUUCCAAAAUAACUUGCAUAAUGUAUUAUAUUCCAUCAUGUAAGCAAAGUCAACUGUGAUUACAAGGUGUUUGGUUUGAUUUCUUUGACAUUUUCUAUGUGUAGGCUAUGUGUAGACGCGAUCUAGCUCGUAAAGUCUGCCCGGCUAUUUAUAGCCCACUUCUAGUCGAAACUGAUUAAUUGUCGUUUUAAUGAAUUGUUGGGCAGGCAACGCAUGAGAUGGUUUAUAUCCCAUCAUGUUCUUAUUGGUAAACAUAUCUACAAGGUGCCAGUGUCAUAUCAUGACAUGGUCGAUCUGUAGUCACGAUUUAGCUCUGAAUUAGAUGGGCUAUGUACAGUCUGCUUUUAGCCCACCGGCGAAAUCGAGGCAAUCAUAGCCCUGAUUUAGACCAGCGAUUAGUAUAGCCAAAAUAAAAUCUUAAAAUUGUUUACUUGUUUUUCACCCACGCAGCUUCAUGUUUGCUGUCACAGUCACACAUUAAUAAAAAAAAUCUACGGUUUUAUUUGACUGUCUUUCAUUUUAAAUUAAAUAAAAACGCAAUUACAUUUCUCAACCGCUAGAUGGCAACAUCCCUACUGAGACAUGCUGACAACGCGAGACUUGAUAGCACAGAUCACCGGUCACGCGAUCGACCAUUUUCAAAUAUUUUAAACGAGGCAGAGCAUUGCAUGCAUUCAGCUGACGGUCGACGACAACAGAUGCUGUGAUGACCAACUUCCCAGCAGCAACAGAGUUUUCUAUUUUAUUAUCUUAAGUUGUUCAUGUUAAAAUAAUUUUAUAUUUUUAAUUUUAAUAUUUGGUUUGGUAAUUUUUAUGUCUUGAAGUUACGUAAUGUUGUUCUUUUGCUAAAUAAAGCCUUUUAUAUGUA